rnacentral:misc_RNA from 1 species
GCCCCAAAUUACCUAAUCCUCACAGCCAAACAGAAUCUCAAUUUCAUCAAAAUCAUCCAAUUUCCAUACAAGAAAAACAGAAGAAAACUCUCCUUUUAAUUCCCAGGAAAACAAAUGAAAAUCUCGAAUUCAGAAAUCAAUAAACACAACGCAAUAGAUUGAGAUUCCAAUCAGGCUUUCCCUUUAUCAAAACUUAAAUAUUUUUCCUUC